rnacentral:tRNA from 1 species
GCCUGGGUGGCUCAGUCAGUUGAGCAUCUGACUUCAGCUCAGGUCAUGAUCUCAGGGUCGUGGGACUGAGCCCCACAUCAGGCU